rnacentral:lncRNA from 1 species
UUUAAAUCUGGUAUUUAUUUUUCCCCCUAUUGCUAGAGAAAGUAAAAAAAAAAAAUGUACUAGCCUAUUUUAUUGACCUUUUUUCUACCCCAUCUAGCUUUUGGGCUCCUUGAAGCAAUAAUAAAAGUCGAGGCGUUUUACAGAGCAGUGGCGUCCCUUCACCUGGAGUACAAUACCUGCUGGUAUGAAAUGAUAUUUCCAUCAGAGAGAUGGGUAGCUUGCCCAGAUGCUGAGCUGUGCAUUUCUAUCAGGAAAGAGCCGAUGGUGAAAUAUGUGUUGAGAGGCUUCAUUGCUCCAGAUGCUGUUCAGAAAGCCUCCAGCAGAGUGUGA